rnacentral:rRNA from 1 species
UACAGAGGGGGCAAGCGUUGUUCGGAAUUACUGGGCGUAAAGGGCGCGUAGGCGGCCGCCUAAGUCAGACGUGAAAUCCCUCGGCUCAACCGGGGAACUGCGUCUGAUACUGGGUGGCUUGAAUCCGGGAGAGGGAUGCGGAAUUCCAGGUGUAGCGGUGAAAUGCGUAGAUAUCUGGAGGAACACCGGUGGCGAAGGCGGCAUCCUGGACCGAGAUUGACGCUGAUGCGCGAAAGCCAGGGGAGCAAACGGG